rnacentral:tmRNA from 1 species
CCUUUAAAUACUGUACCUCCGGUCGUAUAUUGUGUUUGCUGGUUCGCCGGCUAUGGCGAUAAACGUGCUGUGAAAUAAGCAGAGCGGACCCGGGGGCGGUACCCGGCGCCUCCACCAUUUUAGCUGUAGGCUUACCCGGAAUUGACAGACGGAUAUCUCCGAUCUGUUGGACAGCUGAAAGACUGGGGGCGAAACAGGAUCGACGCAUGUGGUAAAGGCAGUAUUUUCGCUCGGUAUGGUACCCGCCGUUAUCGGGCCAUGUAGUAGUUGCAAAUGACAACACUGCUCCGGUCGCAAUCGCAGCCUAACGGCAGCGGGAGUAACCGAUCUUAAGCCCAGUCCGAUUGAGCUCGGGUUGGCGGGGUUCGGAACGCACCUGGCAACAGAAGCGUUCCA